rnacentral:rRNA from 1 species
CAGUAGCCGCGGUAAUACGUAGGGUGCAAGCGUUAAUCGGAAUUACUGGGCGUAAAGCGUGCGCAGGCGGUUUGUUAAGACAGAUGUGAAAUCCCCGGGCUCAACCUGGGAACUGCAUUUGUGACUGGCAAGCUAGAGUCUGGCAGAGGGGGGUGGAAUUCCGCGUGUAGCAGUGAAAUGCGUAGAUAUGCGGAGGAACACCGAUGGCGAAGGCAGCCCCCUGGACCCUUACUGACGCUGAGACGCGAAAGCCAGGGGAGCGAACGGGAUUAGAUACCCGUGUAGUCCCUGUCUCUUAUAC